UAGCUUUUGUAAAUAAAUAAAAUAAAAUUGGAACGAUACAGAGAAGAUUAGCAUGGCCUCUUCACAAGGGAUGACUGGGCAAAUUCGUGAAGCGUUCCAUAUUUUU